rnacentral:lncRNA from 1 species
ACCUUUUCUCACAAGAAGAAAUAUAUAUAUAUAUAUAUAUAUAUUUAUAAUAUGUAUAUAUAUUCAUAUACAUAUGAAUAUAUGAAGAAGAUUCUCCAUACUCUCAACCCUGACAAAGAACAUCAUUGUCAGAGUCAGUUAUCGGUGUGAGGGAUGAGGUUUCAGCUUCAGGCCAGGCCCAGCUGGGUUGAACUCAGACAUCCAGAGUUCAUCCUUUUACAUCUUGAAACCUGUCACAUCUUGAUAAACCAACAAAGGAGGAUUUAUAGUGCGAGGUAGACGAGAGAGGGCUUGGGAUAUGAGCCAGAAUCAGGGAGCUCUUAAGGAGCAGCAAGAACAAGAAGAGUUCAUUUUGCGAUGAUUUUAGAGAGAAGUGGGAAGUGAGAAUCUUAGUGAUUGGGGCAUCUUCAAUCCUAAAUCCUCCCUCCCUCCCAUUUAUUUUACUAAUAAACCUAUUAGUUUUUACAAUGACUGUUUGGAAGCCUGGUUAGUGCAUUGGCCCAGUGUGGUGAGUCCUAACUGCCUUAUUGCACUAAAAACGAACUGAAGCAUCAUCCACACACCUCAGUAUUCCCUUAUAUUUCAGUACUGUAAUACAGAAAUUAUAGAGAGAAGCAUAAGAUGGAAAGUUUAAGAAACUGGCAUUGACACAUGGGAAAGAAUUUUGGAGACAGUAUUCUAGAAGCCAGGGGGUAGAGAAGGAAGGGUCUACUGCUAGACAACUAUCACUUGGUCCUUGGUCUUGGUCUUGGACUACCACUUUGUUCCUGGUCCUGCCCAAGCAGAGGGAAGAGCUGCUUCGAGGAGCUUUUCCUAUCUCAAGUCCUUGGAGAACAAAGGACAACCCUUCAAUCCUUCCCUGUGGUUCCUGAUCAGCUGGAGAGCAGCGUGGAGCAAAUCUGGUUAUCUCUGCUCUCUAAACCAGAAUACUCAGAGACCACAGCUGGGUCAAUCCCCUAGGUGGAAACCAACAUCUAUCCACCUUUGUCUCAUCACUAACCUGUGUUUUCAGUACCAAGACAGAAAGACUCGUUUGAGGACUGGAAUCAAACAAUCAUUCAAUCAAUAAACAUUUGAGUGCCAACUAUGCUUCAAAAAUUUUUCCAGAGAACACAAAUGAAAGUACAAUAAAUGGAACAAUUCCUGUGUGCUAGGUAUGUAC